rnacentral:tRNA from 1 species
GCUCCCAUCCUCUAACUGGAAUAGGAGGCUGGCUUCUCAAGUCAGCAAUGCGAGUUCGAUCCUCGCUGGGAGUGCCA